GUCGAACGGUGAAGCCCAGCUUGCUGGGUGGAUCAGUGGCGAACGGGUGAGUAACACGUGAGCAACCUGCCCCUGACUCUGGGAUAAGCGCUGGAAACGGCGUCUAAUACUGGAUACGAGACGUGAUCGCAUGGUCAACGUUUGGAAAGAUUUUUCGGUUGGGGAUGGGCUCGCGGCCUAUCAGCUUGUUGGUGAGGUAAUGGCUCACCAAGGCGUCGACGGGUAGCCGGCCUGAGAGGGUGACCGGCCACACUGGGACUGAGACACGGCCCAGACUCCUACGGGAGGCAGCAGUGGGGAAUAUUGCACAAUGGGCGCAAGCCUGAUGCAGCAACGCCGCGUGAGGGAUGACGGCCUUCGGGUUGUAAACCUCUUUUAGCAGGGAAGAAGCGAGAGUGACGGUACCUGCAG
rnacentral:rRNA from 1 species